AGAGUUUGAUCAUGGCUCAGAAUCAACGCUGGCGGCGCGCCUAACACAUGCAAGUCGCACGAGAAAGCGGGAGCAAUCUCGCAAGUACAGUGGCGUACGGGUGAGUAACACGUGGAUCAUCUGCCCUGGAGUGGGGAAUAACGCUGGGAAACCGGCGCUAAUACCGCAUAUUCCCGAGAGGGGAAAGCAGCAAUGCGCUCGAGGAGGAGUCCGCGGCCGAUUAGCUAGUUGGUAGGGUAAAGGCCUACCAAGGCUGUGAUCGGUAGCCGGCCUGAGAGGGCACACGGCCACACUGGCACUGAAACACGGGCCAGACUCCUACGGGAGGCAGCAGUGGGGAAUCUUGCACAAUGGGGGAAACCCUGAUGCAGCGACGCCGCGUGAGCGAUGAAGCCCUUCGGGGUGUAAAGCUCUUUCGGCAGGGAAGAUUAUGACGGUACCUGCAGAAGCAGCUGCGGCUAACUACGUGCCAGCAGCCGCGGUAAUACGUAGGCAGCAAGCGUUGUUCGGAGUUACUGGGCGUAAAGGGUGUGUAGGCGGCCUGUUAAGUUCCGUGUGAAAUCUCCCGGCUCAACCGGGAGGGUGCGCGGAAAACUGGCGGGCUAGAGUGCGGGAUGGGAGAGUAGAAUUCCUGGUGUAGCGGUGAAAUGCGUAGAUAUCAGGAGGAAUACCGGUGGUGUAGACGGCUCUCUGGACCGCAACUGACGCUGAAACACGAAAGCGUGGGUAGCAAACAGGAUUAGAUACCCUAGUAGUCC
rnacentral:rRNA from 1 species